rnacentral:rRNA from 1 species
GGAAACGGGUGGUAAUGCCGGAUGCUCCGACUCCUCGCAUGGGGUGUCGGGAAAGAUUUCAUCGGUAUGGGAUGGGGUCGCGUCCUAUCAGGUAGUCGGCGGGGUAACGGCCCACCGAGCCUACGACGGGUAGCCGGCCUGAGAGGGCGACCGGCCACAUUGGGACUGAGAUACGGCCCAGACUCCUACGGGAGGCAGCAGUGGGGAAUAUUGCACAAUGGGCGCAAGCCUGAUGCAGCGACGCCGCGUGCGGGAUGACGGCCUUCGGGUUGUAAACCGCUUUUGAUCGGGAGCAAGCCUUCGGGUGAGUGUACCUUUCGAAUAAGCACCGGCUAACUACGUGCCAGCAGCCGCGGUAAUACGUAGGGUGCAAGCGUUAUCCGGAAUUAUUGGGCGUAAAGGGCUCGUAGGCGGUUCGUCGCGUCCGGUGUGAAAGUCCAUCGCUUAACGGUGGAUCUGCGCCGGGUACGGGCGGGCUGGAGUGCGGUAGGGGAGAC